rnacentral:rRNA from 1 species
CUAUGGCUCAACCAUAGAACUGCAUUGGAAACUGUCAAACUAGAAUACUGAAGGGGCAGAUGGAAUUAGUGGUGUAGGGGUAAAAUCCGUAGAUAUCACUAGGAAUACCGAAAGCGAAAGCGAUCUGCUGGGAAGUUAUUGACGCUGAGGCACGAAAGCGUGGGGAGCAAACGGGAUUAGAUACCCCGGUAGUCCACGCCCUAAACGAUGAAUGCUAGUCGUCGGAAAGCUCGUCUUUUCGGUGAUGCAGUUAACACAUUAAGCAUUCCGCCUGGGGAGUACGGUCGCAAGAUUAAAACUCAAAGGAAUAGACGGGGACCCGCACAAGUGGUGGAGCAUGUGGUUUAAUUCGAAGAUACGCGAAGAACCUUACCUAGCCUUGACAUUGAUUGAAUCUUUCAGAGAUGAGAGAGUGCCUUUCGAGGAACAUGAAAACAGGUGCUGCACGGCUGUCGUCAGCUCGUGUCGUGAGAUGUUGGGUUAAGUCCCGCAACGAGCGCAACCCUCGUCGUUAGUUGCUAACAGUUCGGCUGAGCACUCUAGCGAGACUGCCUUCGCAAGGAGGAGGAAGGUGAGGACGACGUCAAGUCAUCAUGGCCCUUAUGGCUAGGGCUACACACGUGCUACAAUGGGGCGUACAGAGAGUUGCGAUACCGCGAGGUGGAGCUAAUCUCAUAAAGCGUCUCUCAGUUCGGAUUGAUCUCUGCAACUCGAGAUCAUGAAGCUGGAAUCACUAGUAAUCGUAGAUCAGCAAUGCUACGGUGAAUACGUUCCCGGGUCUUGUACUCACCGCCCGUCACACCAUGGGAGUUGAUUUCACCCGAAAUCGGGAAGCAAACCUUCGGGAUGCUACCGCUUACGGUGGA